rnacentral:tRNA from 1 species
GCUGAGAGGGCUGCGUUAUGUAGGUUACUGCGAUAUAGUAAAUUGUAAAUUAUAUAAUUUCCUCAGUA